ACCUUACCCUUUUGUUCACCAGAAAGUUGGUGAAUGUUAGUCGCUGUAAAUGAGACAGAGGGUAAUUUGUUAUAUUAAAUCCCUGUGCUAAAAAAUUAAACAGUAAGAACACUGCAUGUGCUUUUGAUGAACUCUAUCGCCGAGGUGAUUGGAGGAGCAGAAAUUUCUAUCCCAAAAUUGGAGUCAUUGCUAAGAAAGGAACUUGGUUUGACUACAAAGGAAAAAAUCUCGGGAUAUGGAAAGGUAUGACACUGGGUUUGAGUUUUAGAAGUCGCUUUAGAAAAGAGGAGGGAUUUUAAAUAAAAGAGAAGUGCAAUAACCUGCCUAGGGCCCUGAGCAAGUACAGGGUAAAGCAUGCUCAUGUGAAGCAGGCAGUGUAGACCCUGGGGCUCGGGACUUCACACCAAGGCUCUAAAAUGUUCUAUAGGUGCCACAGCCUUACUGGAUAUGGAGUCCCUCUCCCCUGGCUCACUGGAGAACUAGUAGUGUUCUCUACAUUCCUCCUGGGCAGUUGCUCUUGCUAAUCUGUUUUGCCUACCUGAUGGCUCUCUCUGACAUGUCUUUAAAGAUCUCUGUUGCAGAAACUGGGGACAUGACUUAAUUAGUAGAGUCUCAACUGUGCUAUCAUGAGGAGCUGAGUUUCAUUUCUAAUACCAUACCAUACCUACAAUACCAUACCAUACCCUACCAUACCAUGCCUACCAUACCAUACCAUACCAUACCUA
rnacentral:lncRNA from 1 species